CUACGGGGGGCUGCAGUGAGGAAUAUUGCACAAUGGGGGGAACCCUGAUGCAGCAACGCCGAGUGGAGGAUGACGCAUUUCGGUGUGUAAACUCCUUUUAUAUGUCAAGAAAAUGACGGUAGCAUAUGAAUAAGCACCGGCUAACUCCGUGCCAGCAGCCGCGGUAAUACGGAGGGUGCAAGCGUUACUCGGAAUCACUGGGCGUAAAGGACGCGUAGGCGGGUUGGAAAGUCAGGUGUGAAAUCCUACAGCUUAACUGUAGAACUGCACUUGAAACUUCUAAUCUAGAGUAUGGGAGGGGGAGAUGGAAUUAGUGGUGUAGGGGUAAAAUCCGUAGAUAUCACUAGGAAUACCUAAAGCGAAGGCGAUCUCCUGGAACAUUACUGACGCUGAGGCGUGAAAGCGUGGGGAGCAAACAGGAUUAGAUACCCCCGUAGUC
rnacentral:rRNA from 1 species